rnacentral:rRNA from 1 species
UACGGGGGGGGGCAAGCGUUGUUCGGAAUUACUGGGCGUAAAGGGUUCGUAGGUGGCCUGCUAAGUCGGACGUGAAAUCCCUCGGCUCAACCGGGGAACUGCGUCCGAUACUGGUGGGCUCGAGUGCAGGAGAGGAACGCGGAAUUCCAGGUGUAGCGGUGAAAUGCGUAGAUAUCUGGAGGAACACCGGUGGCGAAGGCGGCGUUCUGGACUGCAACUGACACUGAGGAACGAAAGCCAGGGGAGCAAACGGG